UUCAGAGGGUUCAACUAAUACCACAUAAAGCACAUAAUUUUCUGAGUAGUUCAGUAGAUGCAUUCCAAUAUACAUGCAAAAAUAUAGUACCCAAAGAUUUUUCCUAGAAUAAGUAUGAUAAUGAGACCCAACGUCACACAGUCCGCCAUUGAUAUAUAGUCCCCGAAAACUUAGUGUCCUUGAUGAAUGUCUUUGAUGACCUAGGUCACUUACCAGUCGAUGUUGAUGCCACCACAGCAGUUGACAUGACGACACCACCGCUGCCACCACUAACCAACAUAAAAAACCCUUUCUAAGCCAACCCGUUUUGACCCGAACCCAUUUGAAAUGAUUUUUAAAGCUGCCCAUUUUGACCCGUACACAAUUUGACACAGACUGCAAAAACACAUAUACCCAUUUUAGAUGUUGUGUCAUGUGAGAGCGAGAAUUAAGUAACAAUAAGAACUGCCCAACACGGAUGCACCAGUGCAAUUCAAGUAACAAAAAAGUUAUGUUGCACUGAUAUCACCAAAAUACUAAAAAAUCAAGCGAAAAACGACAAAUAACAGAUAUAGAAAGAUGGUAUCAGCAGUCGCAGCAACAAAAAUCCAACAAAAUUUCCCAAGAAAAAAAAUGAAAUAGCUGUAGUAAUUGAAAAGCAUUAACCCAUGAGUGCCUUAACUUGUUGCUCUGCGUAAACCCUAACAAAGAACAACUAACAUCGCAACAUCCACCUGCAAAUCAUACCAAUCACAAAGCAAAAAAAUGAAAUCACGAAAAAAGAACAAUGUUGAU
rnacentral:lncRNA from 1 species